rnacentral:rRNA from 1 species
GACGAACGCUGGCGGCGUGCCUAAUACAUGCAAGUAGAACGCUGAAGGAGGAGCUUGCUUCUCUGGAUGAGUUGCGAACGGGUGAGUAACGCGUAGGUAACCUGCCUGGUAGCGGGGGAUAACUAUUGGAAACGAUAGCUAAUACCGCAUAAUAUUGACUAUUGCAUGAUAGUCAGUUGAAAGGUUCAACUGCACCACUACCAGAUGGACCUGCGUUGUAUUAGCUAGUUGGUGGGGUAACGGCUCACCAAGGCGACGAUACAUACCCGACCGGAGAGGGGGAGCGGCCACACUGGGACGGAGACCCGGCACAGAGGGCUACGGGAGGCAGCAGUAGGGAAGCUUCGGCAAGGGACGGAAGUCUGACCGAGAAACGCCGAGGGAGUGAAGAAGGUUGCCGGAUCGUAAAGCUUUGUUGUAAGAGAAGAACGAGUGUGAGAGUGGAAAGCUCACACUGUGACGGUAUCUGACAAGAAAGGGACGGCUAACUACGUG